AGGUGUAACUCAUUAGCUAUGAUGAAUUGAAUUCUCUCCAUCUCUUCUGUUAAUCAAUGCUCUUUUUAUUAUCAUAUUUAGGGUUUUUAUUUUUUUUUUGUUUAAUAAUAUUAUGUGAAAGCUGUUGUGAAAUAUGAUAUAAGACUGUUUGUUUGUCUUUGAAUCCUGUUUGGUUGCUGUGGCAGAUGAAAAUGUGUUAAAAAUUUGAGAAAUCAUUUAUCUGCUUUUAAAGAUUUAGCAGACAGUGUUAUGUUGCUUGAACUGUUAGUAGACGCAUAGUGGAGUGAAAAAGUUGAAGCUAGUCAUGAGAGUGGUUCUGAAGAAGGAACCACUCACAAUCACAUUUAUGGCAUUAUUAUUCAUUUUAUAUAUAUUUAUAUGAUUUACAGAUGGAUAAGGCCACUAUCUUUUUGAAUUAUUAUUUGUGUGUUACAGACUUAGAAAGCUUUUGUGCUUUACUAAUAUUAAUAUUAAUUGUGAUGUUGAUUUGCAUAUUCUGUUGUUUUUUUCGGCUCAAAGAACAAAGGGAAGAGAAAGAGAUCUGGUAAAUGUGGAAAUCGCUUAUGGAAAUCCAUUGGUCUUGGAUUCAAGACUUCCAGAGAACCACUAAAGGAAUUUUCUUUGGAGACUAGUCAGGAUAUUCUCCAACCAUCGGCAACUUGAGGAAAAAAGGUCUGAUGAUUGAUGUUACCUUACCUGUAUGUAAUUCCAAUCCUGAGUCGGAUGACCACUUGUUUAUGCACUGCACUGCUGCAAAGCUAGUCUGGUUUGCUCGCUACUGAGAGCUCACGCACCAAGUGAGACUGAUAAUAACCUGGAUGAAGAGCUAGAUUACUUGCAAGGAAAAACUUGGAUCGCAACUGGUUUGUGCAACUCUGGAAGAUUUGGAAUUAGAGAAAUCUAAUUCUGUUUAAAACACUUAAUGUCGAAUCUUAUGGAGGUGGCUAGGAGUGCUUGUGAUUUUGUCUCAAAUUUUAACCAAGCAGGGGAAUGACAUUCUGCAGGAAAGCAUACCAUAAAUCAGAACUGUCACUGCUAAUUUUACUGCAAAGGUUGACGAGGGGGCUGUCUGGAUGGCCCUACCACGUGGGGAUGUGUUUUUAAAGAUCCAAUGGGUGUUGUUUCUUUGGCAGCUUGCAGAAAAGAAUGCAUCGCCUCAGAUUCGUAUACGGCAGAAGCUCUUGGUGUGUGCUGGUGCCUUCAAUUGGCAGCGGAGCAAAAUAUCUAAAGCAUAGAAGUGUAAUUGGAUUGUAAUGAUCUGAUGUGUAGUUUUAGACAUGCUUCUUACAGUUUCAUUGGUAGACAAAAUAAUGUAGAGAGAGGCCCAUAAGUUGGCAAAGUUAGCAAAAACUAUUGGCACAAUGUCUUGCCUGGCUAUAUCCCACAAAUUUUUUUGGUGCCUUUUCUGGUUGUAAGUCAUUUGUUUUAAUUUAAAAUUAGAGUGUUUUGCUGUUAAAAAAAAAA